rnacentral:rRNA from 1 species
AUUGAACGCUGGCGGCAUGCUUUACACAUGCAAGUCGAACGGUAACAGGGUGCUUGCACCGCUGACGAGUGGCGAACGGGUGAGUAAUGCGUCGGAACGUGCCGAGUAGUGGGGGAUAACGCAGCGAAAGUUGUGCUAAUACCGCAUACGUACUGAGGUAGAAAGUGGGGGACCUUCGGGCCUCACGCUAUUCGAGCGGCCGACGUCUGAUUAGCUAGUAGGUGAGGUAAAGGCUCACCUAGGCGACGAUCAGUAGCGGGUCUGAGAGGAUGAUCCGCCACACUGGGACUGAGACACGGCCCAGACUCCUACGGGAGGCAGCAGUGGGGAAUUUUGGACAAUGGGCGAAAGCCUGAUCCAGCCAUGCCGCGUGUCUGAAGAAGGCCUUCGGGUUGUAAAGGACUUUUGUCGGGGAGGAAAUCCCCAGCGUUAAUACCGCUGGGGGAUGUCAGUACCUGAAGAAUAAGCACCGGCUAACUACGUGCCAGCAGCCGCGGUAA